rnacentral:rRNA from 1 species
GCAAGAUACCACGGGCGCACGGCGGAUGCCUUGGCACAGGGAGCCGAUGAAGGACGCGGCAAGCUGCGAUAAUCCCCGGCGAGGAGCACACAUCCUUCGACCCGGGGGUCUCCGAAUGGGCGAACCCAUCCGUAGCAGUACGGAUAUCCCGACCCUGAACACAUAGGGGCCGGGAGGACAACCCGGGGAACUGAAACAUCUAAGUACCCGGAGGAGAGGAAAUCAAUCUCGAGACUCCCCGAGUAGCGGCGAGCGAAAGGGGACCGAUGGCCAAACCGUCGAGCGGGCAUACCCGGCAGGGGUUCCGCCGACGGGGUUGCAGGGCCGCGCAUCCGGGGGCUGCCGCCCCCGGGCGCAGGUCCGGCUGGGGAGCGGAACGGCAUGGGAGGGCCGGCCGCAGCGGGUGACAGCCCCGUACGCGAACCCAGACCGGACGGCGCGACGCGGUCCCUGAGUAGGGCCGGGCACGUGAAACCCGGUCCGAACCUGGGUGGACCACCAUCCAAGCCUGAGUACUACCCUGUGACCGAUAGCGCACCAGUACCGUGAGGGAAAGGUGAAAAGCACCCCGGGAGGGGAGUGAAACAGUACCUGAAACCGUGCGCCCACGAGCAGUCGGAGCACCUAUAUGGUGUGACGGCGUGCCUUUUGUAGAAUGAGCCAGCGAGUCGCUGGCGCGGGGCGAGGUUAACCGAAAGGGAGCCGGAGCGAAAGCGAGCCUUAACAGGGCGACUUGAGUCCCGCGCCGCGGACGCGAAGCCGGGUGAGCUAUCCGUGGGCAGGCUGAAGCGGGGGUAAGACCCCGUGGAGGGCCGAACGCACGUCGGUUGAAAACGGCGGCGAUGACCUGCGGAUAGGGGUGAAAGGCCAAUCAAACCCGGAGAUAUCUCGUUCUCCCCGAAAUAGCUUUAGGGCUAGCGUCGCGCGUUCACCGCCGGAGGUAGAGCACCGGAUGGACGAGGGGGCUUCGCCGCCUACCGAAUCCAACCGAACUCCGAAUGCCGGCGGCCCAGAGCGCGGCAGUCAGAGCAUGUGGGCUAAGCUGUGUGCUCGAGAGGGAAACAGCCCGGACCGCCCGCUAAGGUCCCCAAGUUCCAGCCGAGUGGCAAAGGAUGUGCGUCCGCCCAGACAACCAGGAUGUUGGCUUAGAAGCAGCCAUGCAUUCAAAGAGUGCGUAACAGCUCACUGGUCGAGUGGACAUGCGCCGACAAUACACGGGGCUAAGCUGGACACCGAAGCGGCGGGAUUUUGAUUUUCAGAAUCGGUAGGGGAGCUUCCCAUGGGCGGGGAAGCCGCCGGGCGACCGGCGGUGGAGCGCAUGGGAGUGAGAAUGCUGGCAUGAGUAGCGAGAGACGAGAGAGUAACUCGUCCGCCGUGAACCCGAGGUUUCCUGGGCAAGGCUAAUCCUCCCAGGGUCAGUCGGGGGCUAAGGCGAGGCCGGGAGGCGUAGCCGACGCGCAGCAGGCAGACAUUCCUGCACCGCGCACGCGGCGCUACGACCGACGGGGCGACGGAUGGGGGUGGCUCGGCGGGGUUCUGGACGUCCCCGUGAUGGAGCGCGGCCCGCGGACCAGGGAAAUCCGGUCCGCACGAGGGCGAGGCUCCGGACGAAGCAUCUGAGCGAAGCGAGUGAGCCCGAGGUCCCUAGAAAAACCCCUAGGCAGGCGCGUGCGCGCCCGUACCGCAAACCGACACAGGUGGGUGGGUAGAACAUACCGAGGCGAUCGGGUCAACCAUGGUCAAGGAACUCGGCACAAUGGCCCCGUAACUUCGGGAGAAGGGGUGCCCGCGCGUACGUGAACGGACUUGCUCCGGGAGCGGAGGCGGGCCGCAGUGGAGAGGCCCAAGCGACUGUUUACCAAAAACACAGGACUCUGCAGAAGCCGCAAGGCGACGUAUAGGGUCUGACGCCUGCCCGGUGCCGGCAGGUCACGCGGAGGAGUUAGCGCAUCGCGCGAAGCCCCGAAGCCAAGCCCCGGUAAACGGCGGCCGUAACUAUAACGGUCCUAAGGUAGCGAAAUUCCUUGUCGGGUAAGUUCCGACCUGC